UACAGUGCUUGGUUUCUCACUGUUCCCAGUGGCUUCAACUGCAGAAAUAAGAAGCAGCUGACAGGGAGAAGGAAAGGGCGCUGGUGGUAGAGGUGAGAGGAUGCAGUGGGCAGCUCAACUGUGCCACGGGUGUGUGCAGGUGUGUUUAAUAUAGACUGUUGCCCCCUGAGCUGGACUGAGAGAGCCCAAAGCAGCUGGAAAGCGCGCUGUGCUGAAGUGUAUCCUGCUGUGUUUUUUCAGCUCAUCGUAUGCAGGCUGGCCCAUGUGAGGGUGCGUGUGCUACAGCUGCACAUCUCAGUAUCGACACAGCCCCCAACUCCACACGGAGGACUGAGACUGGGGAAAAUGGAUGAGGACAGAGAGAAUGAAGGAGUAUGAACAGCAAUUUGACUGUCAGCAGGCAUCAGUAUUGAUGUGUGCGAGUGAAGCAUGGCAAGGCAAAGAUCAAAGGGGGAGGAUAACUGAAACCACGCAGCUGUGAAUGACAAGUCAGCGUUUUCUGAACAAACUUCUGAGAGCAUCACGACUUCAAGUGCAGGCCUCUGUAAUGAGAAGAAAGAUGAGUCUAGGUGAAGGUAAGAGAACCUUUUCAUGGUGAAGAUGAAUUUGUUUUGUUUGGAGUGGCAGGGAUUUUCCUGUAUUUUAGCUGAGCUGGCUGUUAAUUGCAGCAGUGAAGAGGUGUGUAAGAAGUUGGGUGGGAAUAUGGAAAAAGAAUAGUAGUACCUCAGGUUAGAGGCAGAAAGGAGACUUUUAUUAAUGAGAGCCACAACAAGAUACCCAGUGAGCAGGUAGGAUUCAGGAGUGUACACUAGUUCUUCUUAGUGCUCCUUUCUAUAAAUUUUAGGAGUUUCCAACUAGCUGCUUAAGAAGAAAAUAAGCCUGUUACCAAGGUCAAAGCCUGACAUAAAGAAUCAGAGCCCAGAACAAUCUUAUUUGGUUUAAAGGAAGUUAGAACAGUUUAACCUUACAAAAAUUUCAAUAACAAUGUUAAACCUCCCUUUCUCACCCAACCUGGCAGUUUCAAAGUUUUAUUUUACUGUAACUUUCAAAGUGGCUUUGAUUUGAAAGCUUAGAACUCUUACCUGAGCUAUAGUGUGCAGUAUUUUUACCCCUUUUCUGCAUUCUUAUGCUAUGAAUCCACUGAAACAACUUUUGUCUUUGGGCAUUCUAGAGAAAAAUAGUUUUUUUUCCUUUUUUUCUCUUUUAUUUGUAUUCUUAUUCUUACCAGAAAAUUAUUCAGACCUACAAUUG
rnacentral:lncRNA from 1 species